ensembl:snRNA U6 U6 spliceosomal RNA
GCGCUCUCUUCAGCAGCACAUAUACUAAAAUUGGAACAACACAGAGAAGGUUAGCAUGGCCUCUGCACAAGGAUGGCAUGCAAAUUCGUGGAGCGCUCUGUAUUUUU